AAGGAUCAUUGUCAAAACUGC
rnacentral:rRNA from 1 species